rnacentral:lncRNA from 1 species
AAACUUCGAUUUUCUUCCUACCCAACAUUCUGGAAAAUUCCAGAUUUCACAUUUUUGUAGGAAAAUUAGUUCGAGGGUCAUACUUUGUUCGUUUUCUCUGAAUUUUGGAUAUGUUAUUCAUGAAGAUGUGUUCUAAAACUUUCAUCAAGGGUUCGAAAUCAAAUUGUGGUCAGAUAAUUACAGAAAAUUUAAAAUGUCGAUUGAGGUCACACUGAUUUUCACAAAAAACAGUUUACUAGUUCACAAAACUCCUCCUAUAUAUUAAUUAGAUUGAAUUCAUCGCAUUGAUAAUUUGAAGCUACACUCCCGACUUCAAGAUUUUCAAAGAUUGGUUUUAAAAGAC